rnacentral:misc_RNA from 1 species
GAUGAAGAACGUAGCGAAAUGCGAAAAGUAAUGUGAAUUGCAGAAUUCAGUGAAUCAUCGAAUCUUUGAACGCACAUUGCGCCCGCCAGUAUUCUGGCGGGCAUGCCUGUUCGAGCGUCAUUACAACCCUCAGGCCCCCGGGCCUGGCGUUGGGGAUCGGCGGAAGCCCCCUGUGGGCACACGCCGUCCCUCAAAUACAGUGGCGGUCCCGCCGCAGCUUCCAUUGCGUAGUAGCUAACACCUCGCAACUGGAGAGCGGCGCGGCCAUGCCGUAAAACACCCAACUUCUGAAUGUUGACCUCGAAUCAGGUAGGAAUACCCGCUGAACUUAAGCAUAUCAAUAAGCGGAGGA